rnacentral:rRNA from 1 species
CCUACGGGUGGCAGCAGUGAGGAAUAUUGGUCAAUGGGCGCGAGCCUGAACCAGCCAAGUCGCGUGAGGGAAGACGGUCCUAUGGAUUGUAAACCUCUUUUGUCGGGGAGCAAAAGACGCCACGCGUGGCGUUCCGAGAGUACCCGAAGAAAAAGCAUCGGCUAACUCCGUGCCAGCAGCCGCGGUAAUAAGGAGGAUGCGAGCGUUAUCCGGAGUUAUUGGGGUUAAAGGGUGCGCAGGCGGAAGUUCAAGUGAGAGGUAAAAUUGAGAGGCUCAACCCCGUCGCGUCGUUGAAACGGGUUUUCUUGAGUGAGUGAGAAGUAUGCGGAAUGCGUGGUGUAGCGGUGAAAUGCAUAGAUAUCACGCAGAACUCCGAUUGCGAAGGCAGCAUACCGGCGCUCAACUGACGCUGAUGCACGAAAGUGUGGGUAUCGAACAGGAUUAGAUACCCUUGUAGUC